rnacentral:lncRNA from 1 species
UCCACAAACCCAACCCAGUGAGUUAAACACCAAUGUGAUGUAUAUUUGACAAUCUGAUUAAAUAAAUCCACCAUUAUUAAUCAAAUCUGUGAGAUGUAACUAUCUGUAAACAUUUGAAGUGACCGUGCAUUGGAGCUUUAAACGUUGCAUUAAAAAAAUCAUUUUGGGAUUAAAUAUUGUAAAUAAUAAAUAAAGUUUGUCAGAUUUUAUGGGCAGAAGUGGUUUGGAUGCAUUCAUGUUUUGUAAAAGAGUUGGAUGAUUCUGUUCAUCAGGAGAACUGAAGCUAGGGCAGAACAGACAUGCCUCUGUUUGUAUCUAAGCCUGCCCUCAUCCCCUGGCUUUUCUUUCUUUUAUUCUUUGUGUGAAAGGAACAAGUAAAUAGAUAUCUAGAUAACGUGCUUUACAGUUAGGCUGGGUGUGGCGGUGUGAUAAAGAAUGAGGUAUUGUAUUAAAUUACGAAAUUAGUCAGACUCCAUAACAUUGAGAAUAACUCAAACUUUGUCCAUUAUAUGCAAGUCAGUGUGUAUUAAAAAGGCAACACCUCUUUCUGCUGUUUUGGCCAAUGGGCUAGGUUUAACAUAAAAAGUUGACAUAUGGAUGUCCUGGUAACAGAUACAUAACAUUCAUGAUAACCAGCUACCAAGUGACAUUGAGAAUUGAAGACUUACAUUUUUCAAGGUGUGCAGUACAAACCGCAUUCUUAUCCAAAAUGCAUGAGGUGUAUGUCCCUCCCUCUCCAUAUCCCCUAACUGUAUAGUCUGUAUUAUAUGUGUCUUUCUACAGUUGGCAUUGUGUAUUUUUCCAGGAAAACAUCACAGUGGUUGCUGUUACUACUACUGUCCAGCAGGAAGAUAAUCAGAGAGAAACUUUCAACCAAAACAAAUCAGAGCACUUCUUAUUGUUUCUAACACAUUGAGGUCAUUGUUUGAUUCUGACCUCAGAAACAAUAUGAUUUAUCGGUUGGCUGGGCUUAAAAAUCUAUCAAAAAGAGCAAAGACAGAAUGCAAUCUUAAGUCAUUUGAUAAAGGUCUAACAAAACAUUAUUCAAGCAUGUAGAUGUACAUACUGAUAGAACCAUACACCCAUGCAUCCGUGCAAUGCUUCUUUAGCCAACAGAGGCAACCUAUUCUAAUAAUACCAUCAAGAAAAUAAGUCAUUGUCUUUGCAUUUGGGCCAAUAUGACAAAAGUUGUCUUUCAAUUGUCAAUGGCAAAAGGUAAAAUCCACUUAUGAAGAUAUGCAGACACAAAUGCAUUAGUGGUAAUGAAUAAGUCACUGAGUCACUCUUAUGUAACUUAGAAACAAAAUCAGACAAGUGACAGACUAUGACGAUAGGAUAAAUCUAGACAAUAUAACAUACAGUAAUAUCACGACAUCACCAAUACAGACAAUACGCUGGCAAGGAAAUGUGGCAUCAAGACUUGAUUAUACCUUGAAUGCCCUG